UGGGAUUUUUGCAGAAUGAACAAGCCUCUG
rnacentral:piRNA from 1 species